AUUGGACGCUGGCGGCAUGCUUUACACAUGCAAGUCGAACGGCAGCACGGGGGCAGCCCUGGUGGCGAGUGGCGAACGGGUGAGUAAUACAUCGGAACGUGCCCGGUCGUGGGGGAUAACGUAGCGAAAGUUACGCUAAUACCGCAUACGAUCUGAGGAUGAAAGCGGGGGACCUUCGGGCCUCGCGCGAUCGGAGCGGCCGAUGUCAGAUUAGGUAGUUGGUGGGGUAAAGGCCUACCAAGCCGACGAUCUGUAGCUGGUCUGAGAGGACGACCAGCCACACGGGGACUGAGACACGGCCCAGACUCCUACGGGAGGCAGCAGUGGGGAAUUUUGGACAAUGGGCGCAAGCCUGAUCCAGCCAUUCCGCGUGCAGGACGAAGGCCUUCGGGUUGUAAACUGCUUUUGUACGGAACGAAAAGGCUCUGGCUAAUACCUGGGGCUCAUGACGGUACCGUAAGAAUAAGCACCGGCUAACUACGUG
rnacentral:rRNA from 1 species